GAUGAACGCUGGCGGCGUGCCUAAUACAUGCAAGUCGAGCGAACAGACGAGGAGCUUGCUCCUUUGACGUUAGCGGCGGACGGGUGAGUAACACGUAGGUAACCUACCUAUAAGACUGGGAUAACUUCGGGAAACCGGAGCUAAUACCGGAUAAUAUUUCGAACCGCAUGGUUCGAUAGUGAAAGAUGGCUUUGCUAUCACUUAUAGAUGGACCUGCGCCGUAUUAGCUAGUUGGUAAGGUAACGGCUUACCAAGGCAACGAUACGUAGCCGACCUGAGAGGGUGAUCGGCCACACUGGAACUGAGACACGGUCCAGACUCCUACGGGAGGCAGCAGUAGGGAAUCUUCCGCAAUGGGCGAAAGCCUGACGGAGCAACGCCGCGUGAGUGAUGAAGGUCUUCGGAUCGUAAAACUCUGUUAUUAGGGAAGAACAAACGUGUAAGUAACUGUGCACGUCUUGACGGUACCUAAUCAGAAAGCCACGGCUAACUACGUGCCAGCAGCCGCGGUAAUA
rnacentral:rRNA from 1 species